AGUGGAUCCACGUUCUGCUGAGUAACAAGCACUCCAAAAGACCUGUUGGAGCAGUUGGCUUGGAUCAGUGAUGUGCUAUUAAGCACCUGUUCACGACAAAAAAAAAAAGUCCUGACGUAUAGUGAAUGAGGAUUGCCAUGGCUGGACAACACACCCCAUCCCCACGCAGCCCUUCAACUACGCAGAGAAGGCCAACACAUCUCCGCUGAUGCCCUAGGGUCAGCUCUUCUCCAGGUUGAUCAGCCCCCCUCUCCUUAUGGCACCCACAGGUCUUUGUUCCAUUUUGAAUUAACUUUUGCAUAUGAUGUGAGAUAGGGUCCAACCUCCUCCUUUUGCAUUUGGAGAUGCUUUUGAACUGUGGUGUUGGAGAAGACUCUUGAGAGUUCCAUGGACUACAAGGAGAUCCAACCAGUCCAUUCUGAAGGAGAUCAGCCCUGGGUGUUCUUUGGAAGGAAUGAUGCUAAA